UGCAGUCGAGGGGCGCAGGACUGUAGCAUACAGUUGCUGGCGACCGGCAAACGGGUGCGGAACACGUACGCAAUCUACCCAAAACUGAUGAAUAGCCCUCCGAAAGGAGGAUUAAUACAUCGUAACAUAUUAGAGUGGCAUCACUUUAUUAUUAUAGCUCCGGCGGUUUUGGAUGAGCGUGCGCCUGAUUAGGUAGUUGGCGGGGUAACGGCCCACCAAGCCUGCGAUCAGUAACUGGUGUGAGAGCACGACCAGUCACACGGGCACUGAGACACGGGCCCGACUCCUACGGGAGGCAGCAGUAAGGAAUAUUGGUCAAUGGACGCAAGUCUGAACCAGCCAUGCCGCGUGAAGGAUGAAGGUCCUCUGGAUUGUAAACUUCUUUUAUAUGGGACGAAACCCCCGAAUUCUUUCGGGAUUGACGGUACCAUAAGAAUAAGCACCGGCUAACUCCGUGCCAGCAGCCGCGGUAAUACGGAGGGUGCAAGCGUUAUCCGGAUUCACUGGGUUUAAAGGGUGCGUAGGAGGGCAGGUAAGUCAGUGGUGAAAUCUCCGAGCUUAACUUGGAAACUGCCGUUGAUACUAUCUGUCUUGAAUAUUGUGGAGGUGAGCGGAAUAUGUCAUGUAGCGGUGAAAUGCUUAGAUAUGACAUAGAACACCAAUUGCGAAGGCAGCUCGCUACACAUAUAUUGACUCUGAGGCACGAAAGCGUGGGGAUCAAACAGGAUUAGAUACCCUGGUAGUCCACGCCCUAAACGAAGGAUACUCGACAUACG
rnacentral:rRNA from 1 species